GUGCUCACUUUGGCAGCACAUAUACUAAAAUUGGCACAAUACAGAAAAGAUUAGCAUGGCCUCUGUACAAGGAUGAUAGCAAAUUUGUGACCGUUGCAUGUUAAA
ensembl:snRNA U6 U6 spliceosomal RNA